GGAAGUGACCUUCUCAUGGAGUGUCCUUCACAAGAUCUGGCACAUUUUCCAGCUGCCUGUAGGUAUUCUGGAAGCGUUGGUGGUUUCAGUGGCAAAAACAUCAAGGGCUCUGCGGUGAUUACUUCUGGAGAGGCAGCUGCGGGGAGCACCAUGUUCAAGUGCAGGAGCACCAGCUGGGAGUCUACUCCGCCCCGACUGCCAGUGGGGCCUCGGCAAUUUGUUUUCCCCUAUGGAGUCCAAGUUUCCCAACUCAUUCUUUCCUCUCAUCAAUGAAGAGUCAGUAAGCACAGACGCUGUGCCAGGAAUCAUGAGAGGUAUUGCUAUGGGAAAGAUGACCAGACUCAAACCACCCACAGAGAGGAAGAGAGACAUGGAAAUCACCUCCAUAAAACAUAAUGGAUGCAUGCCCACUAGGAUGGCUAAAAUUAAAAAGACAGAUAAUAUGACGUGUUGGCAAAGAUAUGGAGAAAGUGGGCCCCUCGUAGGA
rnacentral:lncRNA from 10 species